rnacentral:rRNA from 1 species
GAUCAUGGCUCAGGAUGAACGCUAGCUACAGGCUUAACACAUGCAAGUCGAGGGGCAGCAUGAACUUAGCUUGCUAAGUUUGAUGGCGACCGGCGCACGGGUGAGUAACACGUAUCCAACCUUCCGUUUACUCAGGGGUAGCCUUUCGAAAGAAAGAUUAAUACCUGAUAGUAUGGUGAGAUUGCAUGAUAGCACCAUUAAAGAUUUAUUGGUAAACGAUGGGGAUGCGUUCCAUUAGG